AGACGAGUGCUACAAAAGAGUGGGUUAGCUGGGUGAGGAGGGAGAUGGUGUUUGCUUUUUGUGCUGUGAAGAGUGAUGGAGUCAGUGCUGUGAGGAGAUGCCCAUGAGAAAUCACUGAGAAGGAACUCGAACACAAGGCCCACCACCACCAUCACCAGGAGAUGCUUUCAGUAUGGAUAAUGUGGAACAUUCUCAACCUCUGCUUCUGGAGCUGCUUGUAUAUUUAACAGUGCACUGUUCAGAGGGACACCAGUCCUGCUGGCCAGCAGAACAUUUCAUGGUAGUAUGGGAUAUACAGGUUUAACACCCUUCAUCUGGGUAAAUGAAGAACAAACCUCCACCUACUGCCUUACAAGAGGGCUAGGUGAGUGUCUGUUUCUGUGAGAAAAGCCAGACUGACAGGCACCUAACUCCAGGAAACAAUAGGGAUUCUUUUUCAAGUUUAGAGGUAAUAUCAGAGAUAUUGGUUGGUAUCUGAGGGCCCCAGCUUCUAGCACUUCUGUACCAGAAGUGCAUUGUGAGCCCAAGCAACUCAGGGACUGCUGACCACUAUGCAGGAAAAUGUCUAAUAGUCAUUAAACAGUGAGCCUGACCUUGGCCACAUUCCCCAUUUUGGCUCCAUGAAGAAUUUAGUGCCCUUAGCAUCUCUGCACAGCACACACACAAAUACACCCUCAACAUUACUGCUCUAUGUGGGGCUUGUAGCUUUUCAUGUAACUGCUCUCUACCUCACUUAGCUCAAAACAAUACCCUAUAGAAGACACAACUCCUUGAAUUGUAGUGUGCAAGCUGACUUGUGCAAUUUCAGACGGUUUGAGUGGGGCUGUGAGAUAGAUUUAUAAAGCUGCCAUUCACCCUGUCGUAACUUCUAUGUCCUUGAAGACAUAGAGGGGAAAGGCAAAUGGAGAGCUGGAGCCAGGAGAGAGCUGAUAAUCUCACCACAAGUUAGAUGCAGAAAAAGCUCAUCCAUCCCCACUGAAGUGCUGUUGGUGGACUGGUCUGCACUUCCUGGAGUUUAAAUGCCUCGCUUCAAAGUAAUAUUCUUAAUGUGAAUAAAUACCUGCUACAAAUACAACUGUGUAAAUGAGAUUAAAAGGGUCAGAAGCAGGAACUUCUAAA